AACGAACGCUGGCGGCAGGCUUAACACAUGCAAGUCGAACGAUGUAGCAAUACAUAGUGGCGCACGGGUGAGUAACGCGUGGGAAUAUACCCUUUAGUAAGGAAUAACUUCGGGAAACUGAAGCUAAUACCUUAUACGCCCUUCGGGGAAAGAUUAUCGCUAAAGGAUUAGCCCGCGUGAGAUUAGGUAGUUGGUGGGGUAAUGGCCUACCAAGCCUACGAUCUCUAGCUGGUCUGAGAGGAUGAUCAGCCACACUGGAACUGAGACACGGUCCAGACUCCUACGGGAGGCAGCAGUGGGGAAUAUUGGGCAAUGGACGAAAGUCUGACCCAGCCAUGCCGCGUGUGUGAUGAAGGCCUUAGGGUUGUAAAGCACUUUCGUUGGUGACGAUAAUGACGGUAACCAAAGAAGAAGCCCCGGGCUAACUUCGUGCCAGCAGCCGCGGUAAU
rnacentral:rRNA from 1 species